rnacentral:rRNA from 1 species
UACAGAGGGUGCGAGCGUUGUCCGGAAUCACUGGGCGUAAAGGGCGCGUAGGUGGCGACCCAAGUCGAUGGUGAAAGCUCGCCGCUCAACGGCGAGUCGGCCACCGAUACUGGGUUGCUGGAGCACUGUAGAGGCAGAUGGAAUUCCGGGUGUAGCGGUGGAAUGCGUAGAGAUCCGGAAGAACACCGGUGGCGAAGGCGGUCUGCUGGGGUCGAACUGACGCUGAGGCGCGACAGCGUGGGGAGCAAACAGG